rnacentral:rRNA from 1 species
UAGGGAAUCUUCGGCAAUGGGGGGAACCCUGACCGAGCAACGCCGCGUGAGUGAAGAAGGUUUUCGGAUCGUAAAGCUCUGUUGUUAAGGAAGAACGAGUGUGAGAAUGGAAAGUUCAUACUGUGACGGUACUUAACCAGAAAGGGACGGCUAACUACGUGCCAGCAGCCGCGGUAAUACGUAGGUCCCGAGCGUUGUCCGGAUUUAUUGGGCGUAAAGCGAGCGCAGGCGGUUAGAUAAGUCUGAAGUGAAAGGCAGUGGCUCAACCAUUGUAGGCUUUGGAAACUGUUUAACUUGAGUGCCGAAGGGGAGAGUGGAAUUCCAUGUGUAGCGGUGAAGUGCGUAGAUAUAUGGAGGAACACCGGUGGCAAAAGCGGCUCUCUGGUCUGUAACUGACGCUGAGGCUCGAAAGCGUGGGGAGCGAACAGG